UGAUUCCUUGUCACGUUCUUCCUGCCACAAAUUCUCUUAGGUACAACUGUAUUCCAAUUAUUAAAAAACCCCACUCUUUUGGCUGUAAUAAACAGGGACCUAAUUUUACAUCAAAAUAACAUCUACAGGAAAUUUCUUUUUCUAUUUUCCUUAGACAUACUCAUUCUCUUCCUACUCAUGUAGACAAUAGAAAAACUUUGUUGAAUAUGACACCUCACUUUUCUUUUAGUCUCAGCAGGAGAUUGAAAAUUUUGAGAAACUAGUGACAUGUUAAGAAGAAUUCCUGAGCAAACAGAAAUUUCUGUGUGGAAAAGGCAAAGUGGAACAAUACCAAGUAGGCAGAUUGAGGAUCCCUCAGCUCAUCUUCCUGAUGAUUAAAAGACUCUUUUGGGAUAUAUGGCUUCCAAUCUGCAUGGAGGAAUGAAACAUUUAACACGAGUCUCCCUGGACUGAAAG
ensembl:lncRNA